rnacentral:rRNA from 1 species
UUUUUACGGAGAGUUUGAUCCUGGCUCAGGACGAACGCUGGCGGCGUGCUUAACACAUGCAAGUCGAACGAUGAAGCUCCAG